GAGGAAUAAGCAUCGGCUAACUCCGUGCCAGCAGCCGCGGUAAUACGGGGGAUGCAAGCGUUAUCCGGAAUCAUUGGGCGUAAAGCGCCUGUAGGUUGUUUAAUAAGUCUGUUGUUAAAGACUAGGGCUUAACCCUAGGAAAGCAAUGGAAACUACUAGACUUGAGUAUGAUAGGGGUAGAGGGAAUUUCUAGUGUAGCGGUGAAAUGCGUAGAUAUUAGGAAGAACACCGGUGGCGAAGGCGCUCUACUGGAUCAUUACUGACACUCAGAGGCGAAAGCUAGGGUAGCAAAAGGGAUUAGAUACCCCUGUAGUCCUAGCCGUAAACGAUGGAUACUAGAUGUUGCGUUUAUUAUGCAGUAUCGUAGCUAACGCGUUAAGUAUCCCGCCUGGGGAGUACGCUCGCAAGGGUGAAACUCAAAGGAAUUGACGGGGGCCCGCACAAGCGGUGGAGCAUGUGGUUUAAUUCGAUGCAACGCGAAGAACCUUACCAAGGCUUGACAUACUACAAAUUUCUUUGAAAGAGGAAAGUGCCUUCGGGAAUGUAGAUACAGGUGGUGCAUGGCUGUCGUCAGCUCGUGUCGUGAGAUGUUGGGUUAAGUCCCGCAACGAGCGCAACCCUUAUUUUUAGUUGCUAAUUUAUUAGGUUUUCUAAAAAGACUGCCGGUGACAAACCGGAGGAAGGUGAGGAUGACGUCAAGUCAGCAUGCCCCUUAUGCCUUGGGCUACACACGUGCUACAAUGGUUAAGACAAAGAGUUGCGAGCUCGCGAGAGUCAGCUAAUCUCAUAAACUUAGCCUAAGUUCGGAUUGUAGGCUGCAACUCGCCUGCGUGAAG
rnacentral:rRNA from 1 species